rnacentral:rRNA from 1 species
GGGUCAGUAGGUUGGUCGUGCCACCGGUACGUACUGGUCUCACUGAUUCCUCCUUCCUGAAGAACCGUGAUGCCAUUAAUUUGGUGUUGCGGGGAAACAGGACUGUUACUUUGAAAAAAUUAGAGUGUUUAAAGCAAGCUAACGCUUGGAUACAUUAGCAUGGAAUAAUGAAAUAGGACGAUCGAUCCUAUUUUGUUGGUUUCUAGGAUUGACGUA